rnacentral:rRNA from 1 species
AAAAUUUAAAAUUAUUAUACUAAAAUAGUAAAUAAUUAUUUAUUGAAACUUAAAUAAUUUGGCGGUAUUUUAGUUCAUUUAGAGGAAUCUGUUUAAUAAUUGAUAUUCCACGAUUAAAUUUACUUAAUUUAUAAUUUUGUAUAUCGUUGUUAUAAAAAUAUUUUUUAAUAAAAUUAAUAUUUAAAAAUUAUUAUAUGAAUUUAAAUCAGAUCAAGAUGCAGAUUAUAAUUAAGAAUAUAAUGGAUUACAAUAAAAUUAUUUAAAUGAAUAUUAAUUUGUAAAAAUUAAUUGAAAGUGGAUUUAAAUGUAAUUUUAUUUAUUUUAAUAAAAUGAUUAAAAAUUAAAAUAUGU